rnacentral:rRNA from 1 species
UACGUAGGGUGCAAGCGUUGUCCGGAAUUCCUGGGCGUAAAGAGCUCGUAGGCGGUGUGUCGCGUCGGCCGUGAAAACCUGCAGCUUAACUGUGGGCUUGCGGUCGAUACGGGCAUCACUGGAGUUCGGCAGGGGAGACUGGAAUUCCUGGUGUAGCGGUGAAAUGCGCAGAUAUCAGGAGGAACACCGGUGGCGAAGGCGGUUCUCUGGGCAUUACCUGACGCUGAGGAGCGAAAGUGUGGGGAGCGAACAGG